GUCUAUGGCCAUAGCACCCUGAACAUGCCUGAUCUCUAAUCUUGGAAGCUAAGCUGGGUCGCACCUGGUCAGCCCUUGUAAGAAGAGUGGGAAUUUUGUCUUUUUCCCUCCUCAGUGUUGUAGAGC
rnacentral:rRNA from 1 species